rnacentral:rRNA from 1 species
AUCGGGAAGAACACCAGUGGCGGAGGCGCUCUGCUGGGCCAUCACUGACGCUCAUGGACGAAAGCCAGGGGAGCGAAAGGGAUUAGAUACCCCUGUAGUCCUGGCCGUAAACGAUGAACACUAGGUGUCGGGGGAAUCGACCCCCUCGGUGUCGUAGCCAACGCGUUAAGUGUUCCGCCUGGGGAGUACGCACGCAAGUGUGAAACUCAAAGGAAUUGACGGGGGCCCGCACAAGCGGUGGAGUAUGUGGUUUAAUUCGAUGCAACGCGAAGAACCUUACCAGGGUUUGACAUCCUGCGAAUCUCUUGGAAACAGGAGAGUGCCUUCGGGAACGCAGUGACAGGUGGUGCAUGGCUGUCGUCAGCUCGUGUCGUGAGAUGUUGGGUUAAGUCCCGCAACGAGCGCAACCCACGUCUUUAGUUGCCAGCAUUUAGUUGGGCACUCUAGAGAGACUGCCGGUGAUAAACCGGAGGAAGGUGUGGAUGACGUCAAGUCAUCAUGCCCCUUACAUCCUGGGCUACACACGUACUACAAUGCUACGGACAAAGGGCAGCAAGUUCGCGAGGACAAGCAAAUCCCAUAAACCGUGGCUCAGUUCAGAUCGUAGGCUGCAACUCGCCUACGUGAAGGCGGAAUCGCUAGUAAUCGCAGGUCAGCAUACUGCGGUGAAUACGUUCCCGGGCCUUGUACACACCGCCCA